GCCGCAGGGGCUUUCCCCCAGGCCUGCCUGGGGGCUUCUUGCUCCGUGAUCUCUGCACGAGGCACUCUCCUGCCCCGCCCUCCCCGCCUACUGCUCGUGCCUUCCGCUGCACCCUCGUAGGCUCACGUGCUUAGCCUUUUCCUGGGUCGCUUUUGAUGAUCACUGAUUGAUUUUGGUGCUCACAUACCUCUUUUCAUCACAUCUAAGAGGCCAUUAUUUGUAAAGUCGUUGCUUUAUGAGCCACUAGGAAAGAAAAACACUGUCCAUUGAAUUGUGAGAUAGCGGUUUAUCAGUUAAUAUUUUUAUUUCUACCUAUUUAAAGAACUCUUUUAGACUUGAUUAGACUCCGAGUUUUCCACAUACCGCUCUUGUGCCUAGAUAAACAGGGAGAAUGGCUGUGAAGUACGUUGGCUAAGGUGCUCCUAGAACUUUCUCAGUUUACUUUCUGUGUCGGGGAUGUCUGUGCCUGUUUUCUUCAGCGUCAGCCUCUGGUGAAGCCGCAUUUCCUAAUAAACAUCCGUGAAGGUACCAAGAGCCUUUGGUUCUGGGCUCUUCUGUGGCAGCAUGGCAGCUGUGUGGUUUGCCAGCCUUUGACUUGCCUGGGAAGUUCUCCUGACUCCCCAGCUUGCCACCUAUCUCUGUCCCACCCGAUUGGUUUCUGGGUACUGGGAGUGCCCUCUCUUUGUUUCUGGGAUGUUCUCCCAAACCGCCGAUGAGCAUCCCGCAGCCUUUGCUGCUAGUGUGUUGUAUGUGUGAGCGUGUUCUGGCUAAUGGUGGGCGCGUCAUGGUCCCUGCCUCGCCCGUGGCAUCAUAAGAUGCCAUUUGUCAUGGGGUACACCCCAAAUUUCAUGUUAAACGGUGGGAAAAAAAGUGCACCUUAGAAUUGGUGAGCCAUGGUCUUUGUCUUUCUGUGUGUUGGAUUGCUCGCCUCCGUGAGGACUCACCUCCUGGCCGCCUGCCCGUGAUGAGUGAUAGUGGUAGCCCUUGCAGGAACAUGUGCGUCUGCUUCUGUUCACUUCCAGUUCCCAGAGUCCAUGCAAACAGAGGUGCUUCCUGUUUUCUGUUUUUGAGAGAUGGAUCUGACGGACCCGAACCCAUUCAGAAACAUUUAUGAGCAUUUUCUGUCUACAGGUUACCCUGCUGGGUGCUGGUAUCUGCAGAAGUGAGCCAGUACUCCCUUUCCCUUCACAGAGCUCAGGGUCACUGAACAAACCAACUAAAGAAAGACUUUUUUUUUAUUUUAAAGAGGAGUAAGUUGAAUAGGGACUGGAUAGAAGAUGAAAUUUGAGGAAUCAUUAUUAAUUUUAUUUGUGGCAGUAAUGGCAUUGGGUUGUGUUUUUUGAAAAUCCUGAUUGAUCAUAGAUGCAUUUAUGGACGGGGUGAUAUCAUGUCUGCUAGAAAAUUAUGAGGUAACAAGAUGGGCCAAAUUUGUUAUUGAAUUUGACUGAUGGGUACCUGGGCUUUGUCAUACUAUUUUAUUUUUGUAUAAUUUUGAAAAUUUCAUUGAAAUAAUUUAAAAAGAAGUUUAUAGAUGUAUAUAGCUUAAAUUAGCAAACCAGCUGAAAACUAACAUUUUUUAAAAAGCAACUGUAAUGCUUUGUGAUGGGGUCAGUAAAAGGUUUCUGCUCCCAGUUUCCGAUGUGUGAGUGUUGGGGAUUUUCCCUGUAGCACCAUGCCAAGCCCCCUCACCAGCUGCAUGUCCUACAGUUCAACCUGAUUUGGUACUGCCUGGAAUUGGCUUCAGAUCCCACGGGAUAAGGGCUCAGUCUCACGCGACUUCCCUGGGCUGCAGGUGCCAGCUGCUGGGCCAGCGUAACCUGAGCUUCUGACUGACUGGCUGAAAGUCACAGGCGCCUGGAGGGCAGAAGACAUGUCUUUGCGUUCGGCCUGUCAGCCAGACUCUCCCUCAUCCCCUGCAGUUUUGCUUGCUGUCAUAAAUGAUCCGUUAGGAGCUGUGGACGACCUGGGAAGUCAGAGUCAGAGGCCUUUAAUAAAUAUUAUAUUAUUGUUUCCCCAACAGGAUAUUACUGCAAAAGGCUCAUAUUUUACACUGUAUUUGUAAAUGAGAGAUUUUUGACAAAUAUAUGAUACUGCAUAUUUUCUGUAA